AUAGCUUUUCUUCCAAGGAGUGAGUGUCUUUUAAUUUCAUGGCUGCAGUCACCGUUCACAGUGAUUUUGGAGCCUAAGAAAAUAAAAUAUGUCACUGUUUCCACUUUUUCCCCAUGUAUUUGCCAUGAAGUGAUGGGACCAGACGCCAUGAUCAUAGUUUUUUGAAUGUUGAGUUUUAAGCUAGCUUUUUCACUUUCCUCUUUCACCUUCAUCAAGAGGAUCUUUGGUUCCUCUUCAUUUUCUGCCAUAAGGGUGGUAUCAUCUGCAUAUCUGAGGUUGCUGAUUCUUGAUUCCAGCUUGUGAUUCAUCUAGUCUAGUGUUUUGCAUGAUGUACUCUGCAUAUAAAUUAGAUGAGCAGGGUGACAAUAUACAGCCUUGAUGUACUCCUUUCCCAAUUUUGAACCAGUCCAUGGUUCCAUGUCUAGUUCUAACUGCUGCUUCUUGACCUGUGUAUAGGUUUCUUAGGAGACAGGUAAGGUGGUCUGGUAUUCCCAUCUCUUUCAGAAUUUUGCACAGUUUGUUGUCAUCUACAUAGUCAAAGGCUUUAGCAUAGUUGAUGAAGCAGAAGUAGAUGUUUUUCUGGAAUUCUCUUGCUUUUUCUAUGAUCCAACUGAAUGUUGGCAAUUUGAUCUCUGGUUCCCCUGCCUUUUCUAAAUCCAACUUGUACAUUUGGAAGUUCUCGGUUCACCUACUACCGAAUCCUAGCUUGAAGGAUUUUGAGCAUUACCUUGCUAGCAUUUGAAAUGAGCACAGUUGUAUGGUAAUUUGAAUAAUCUUUGAUAUUGCCUUUCUUUGGGAUUGGAAUGAAAUCCACAUGUAUGUAAUCAACCCAGCUUUAAUCAUGCCUACAUGGUUAGGUCACUAACAUUUGAAAUCACUGAUGUCCAUGUGGAUCUGUGUUCAGAAACCAUGACUUUGAAAGUAGAAGGAAGGAUAGGGAUUUUUCAAACAGCCCACACAAUUCUAACCUAAGGACUCAGGGAAGAAGUUGACUGUGCAGUGGGGUAGCUUUAGAAAUGAACUCAGGUUAGUGGGUGUGAGAGAGAUCAAUCCUGACAUUUGCACUUGAGAAUUAUUUGGGUUAAGGAUAAGCCAAAAUCACCCUGGCCAUUAACAAAUCCUUUGGACUGCUGAACAAAGUGGUGUCGCACUUACCAGCAGUUAAAUGUUGAAAUAAAAGCAUUUUACUUUGGGUACCAUUGUUGGAAAAGUGUUAACAGGCUAGACAUUCUCUUAACACUGAACUUUCAUAUUUUAAGCAUUACUCUUUUCACUCUUUGGUUUCGCUCCUAAGUAACAGAAAUUUGGGACACCUAUUUUGCUAAGUCUUUGCUCACUGCUGGACGCCAAUGAAAUAUACACUGUACGGAUUAUCACCUCCAAAGAUGCUGCUCUACCAUGGAAGACCCCUGCUGAUGCUUACUUUAAACUAAGUACUUUUAAAAGCAUUUCACAGGUGUUUCAUUUUUAUAGGCGGUUUGUAACCCAUCUCAUUUCCAGGGUAAAGCUUUGAGGAGGGUACCAUUUAAAUGGAAGCUCACAGAGAUAAUUUGCCCAGAGUCACACCACUACAAAGCCCUCAAUCAGCUCUGAUGCCAGAGCCUGUCCAUUAACUACCGUAGCAGGAAUGCCCAUGAGACAAAGACAUCUGCUGGAGGAACAUCUGGGGCUCUUCCUUAAAAGGUGGCUCAGAUGAUAAGGAACCUGCCAGCAAUUUGGGAGACCGGAGUUCAAUCCCUGGUGAGGAAGAUCCCCUGGAGAAGGGAAUGGCUAUCCAGUCCAGUAUUCUUGCCUGGAGAAUCCCAUGGACAGAGGAGCCUGGUGGGCUACAGUCCACGUGGUCACAAAGAGUUGGACAUGACUGAGAGACUAACACUGUAAUAAAACAGCUUGAAUCAACAC
ensembl:lncRNA